rnacentral:rRNA from 1 species
UCGCAUCUGUGCAUGCAGCAUAUCAAUAAGCGGAGGAAAAGAAAUUAACAAGGAUUCCCUUAGUAACGGCGAGUGAAGCGGGAAGAGCUCAAAUUUGAAAUCUUCAAGGUUUUACCUUGACGAAUUGUAGUUUAAAGAAGUGUUUUCUGUUGAAGUUUUGGUAAAAGUUCUUUGGAAUAGGACAUCAUAGAGGGUGAGAAUCCCGUAUUUGACCAUUAUUUUCAGCUGUGUGAUACACUUUCAAAGAGUCGGAUUGUUUGGGAAUGCAGUCCAAAAUGGGUGGUAAAUUUCAUCUAAAGCUAAAUAUUGGCGAGAGACCGAUAGCGAACAAGUACCGUGAGGGAAAGAUGAAAAGAACUUUGAAAAGAGAGUUAAACAGUACGUGAAAUUGUCAAAAGGGAAGCGUUUGACACCAGUGUUGUUUUCUCGAAAAUCAAUUAAAAAGAGUUUAGAUUUUGUUGUGUAUUGACCUUAACAGCUUGCAUUUCAAUUUUCUUGCUUUUUUUUAAUGCACUUUUCGUUUAACAAGUCAACAUCAGUUUCUUUUGUUGUAAAAAGGUCAUUGGGAAGGUGGCUUUCUUUUCGGAGAAAGUGUUUAUAGCCUUUGACUCCUGCAAUCGGAGAGACUGAGGUCUGCAGCGUAGAUCCUUCGGGGUUAGAUACAUUUGUGCUAAGUUAUAGGCUUUUUAUAGACAACUUGUUGACUAUGAUUAGUCUUGUAGCUUACUCGCUUAUGCUAUUUUACCUACGCUUAGGAUGUUGAUCUGUAGUGCGUGCGC